rnacentral:rRNA from 1 species
UACGGAAGGCAGCAGUGGGGAAUAUUGCACAAUGGGCGAAAGCCUGAUGCAGCUAUGCCGCGUGUAUGAAGAAGGCCUUAGGGUUGUAAAGUACUUUCAUCGGGGAGGAAAAAACAAAACUAAUAAUUUUAUUUCUUGACGUUACCCGAAAAAGAAGCACCGGCUAACUCCGUGCCAGCAGCCGCGGUAAUACGGAGGGUGCUAGCGUUAAUCAGAAUUACUGGGCGUAAAGAGCACGUAGGUGGUUUUUUUAAGUCAGAUGUGAAAUCCCUGGGCUUAACCUAGGAACUGCAUUUUGAAACUGAAAUACUAGAGUAUCGUAGAGGGAGGUAGAAUUCUAGGUGUAGCGGUGAAAUGCGUAGAUAUCUGGAGGAAUACCUGUGGCGAAAGCGGCCUCCUAAACGAAUACUGACACUGAGGGUGCGAAAGCGUGGGGAGCAAACGAGGGAUUAGGAUACC